rnacentral:rRNA from 1 species
GGUGAAUGCCUUGGCACUGGGAGCCGAUGAAAGACGUGGUAAGCUGCGAAAAGCUUCGGGGAGGAGCAAACAUCCAUUGAUCCGGAGAUAUCUGAAUGGGGCAACCCAAUGGAGUUCAUACUCCAUUAUCCAAUACUGAAUCCAUAGGUAUUGGAAGGGAACCGCCUGAACUGAAACAUCUAAGUAGGGCGAGGAAGAGACAUCAAACGAGAUUCCGUAAGUAGUGGCGAGCGAACGCGGAAGAGGGCAAACCGAGAGGAGAAAUCCUUUCGGGGUACGGACUGCUUUUAAGACUGGAAGAGUUAACAGAAUGGCAUGGGAAGGCCAACCGAAGAGUGUGAGAGUCACGUAAGUAAAAAUUCUGACAGCUGCGCAGGAUCCAGAGUACGGCCAGACACGUGAAACCUGGUCGGAACAUGGGGGGACCACCCUCCAACCCUAAAUACUACCCAGUGACCGAUAGCGUAUAGUACUGUGAAGGAAAGGUGAAAAGGACCCCGGGAGGGGAGUGAAAGAGAACCUGAAACCUUGUGCCUACAAGCACAUAGAGCCCGUCAAAGGGUGAUAUGGUACUUUUUGUAGAACGGUCCGGCGAGCGAUUGUACGUUGCGAGCUUAAGGUCUUAAGGACUGGAGGCGUAGCGAGAGCGAGUCUAAACAGGGCGUUUAGUAGCGUGCAAUGGGCCCGAAACCGGGUGACCUACCCAUGAUCAGGCUGAAGUGAAAGUAAAAUUUCAUGGAGGGCCGAACCGACCUCCGUUGAAAAGGCGGCGGAUGAAUUGUGGGUAGCGGAGAAAUUCCAAUCGAACUCGGAGAUAGCUGGUUCUCCCCGAAAUAGCUUUAGGGCUAGCCUCAUGUUAGAUAUCCGGAGGUAAAGCACUGAAUGGCCUAGCGUCCGAGAGGAUAGCGAAGCCUAUCAAACUAAGAAUGCCGGAAUAUUGAUGCAUGGGAGUCAGACAGUGUGAGAUAAAUCUCAUUGUCAAAAGGGAAACAGCCCAGAUCUACAGCUAAGGUCCCAAAUUGUAUCUAAGUGGAAAACGAUGUGGAAAUACGCAGACAACCAGGAUGUUGGCUCAGAAGCAGCCACUCAUUUAAAGAGUGCGUAAUAGCUCACUGGUCGAGCGUCUCUGCGCGGAAAAUUUAACGGGGCUAAGAUACAAACCGAAGCUUAGGCUGCACUUUUAGUGCGGGGUAGGGGAGCGUUGUGUAAGCGGAGAAACAGUAGCGGAAGCGGCUGUGGAGUUUACAGAAGUGAGAAUGCCGGAAUGAGUAGCGCGAAUGAUGUGAGAAUCAUCAUGGCCGGAAACCUCAGGUUUUUGGAGGAAGGUUCGUCCGCUCCAAGUUAGGCGGGAGCUAAGGUGAGGCCGAAAGGCGUAGCCGAUGCACAGACGGUAGAGAUUCCGUCCCCACCGAAAGAUUUAAGCGCAGGGACACUUUUAGAAGGUCGGAGCCAGGUGUUGGUUCUGGUAGAGAUCGAGGGAAGAUUAGUACCGAAGUCCGGCUGGAUAAGAGGCGAGAAAAGCUGCGUGUAUAUCUAAGGUGCCCGUACCGCAAACCGACACAGGUAGGUAGGAAGAAGAUUCUAAGGCCAACGGGAGAAGGGUUGUUAAGGAACUCGGCAAGUUGACCCCGUAACUUCGGAAUAAGGGGUGCUCAUGAAAGUGAGCCGCAGAGAAUAGGCCCAGGCAACUGUUUACCAAAAACACAGGUUUGUGCUAAAUCGAAAGAUGACGUAUACGAGCUGACGCCUGCCCGGUGCUGGAAGGUUAAAAGGAGAUGUGCAAGCAUUGAAUUGAAGCCCCAGUGAACGGCGGCCGUAACAAUAACGGUCCUAAGGUAGCGAAAUUCCUUGUCAGGUAAGUUCUGACCCGCAUGAAAGGCGUAAUGAUUUGGGCACUGUCUCAACAGCCCGCCCGGCGAAAUUGUAGUACCGGUGAAGAUGCCGGUUACCCGCGACAAGACGGAAAGACCCCAUGGAGCUUUACUGUAGCCUAAUAUUGGGUUUCGAUGUUGCAUGCACAGGAUAGAUGGGACAC